rnacentral:rRNA from 1 species
CGCGUAGGUGGUUUGUUAAGUCGGAUGUGAAAGCCCCGGGCUCAACCUGGGAAUUGCAUUCGAUACUGGCAGGCUAGAGUAUGGUAGAGGGAAGUGGAAUUCCAGGUGUAGCGGUGAAAUGCGUAGAUAUCUGGAGGAACAUCAGUGGCGAAGGCGACUUCCUGGACCAAUACUGACACUGAGGUGCGAAAGCGUGGGUAGCAAACAGGAUUAGAUACCCUGGUAGUCC